rnacentral:tRNA from 1 species
GGGGCAGUAGCUCAGCUGGGAGAGCGCAUCCUUCGCAUGGAUGAGGUCGCCGGUUCAAUCCCGGUCUGCUCCA